rnacentral:rRNA from 1 species
UACUAAUGCAACUGCGAAUAGCUGUUUAAUACAGUCGUAAUUGUAUUGACUUAUGUAUUUAGUGAUGUUAUUUAUUUGGAUAACUAAGGGAAAGUUUGGCUAAUACGUUUAAAAUAUAAUAAUACAUUAUGCAUAUAAUAAAUAUUUAUUUUAUGAUAAAUAUUAUAUAAAUGAAAAUACAUUUGUAUUUUAAUGUCGCAGACUUUAUAAUAUUUAUUUAUUAUAAAGCAUGUCAAACAAGCAUCUAUAGCAUCAAGUCACAAUGUUGGCAUGUGUAUUAUUGAACCUUCAAAGCAUUUACGCAUUCGGAGGAGUAGUUUCUGAUCCCGUCGAAGGUGCCUGAGAGACGGCACUUAGUUCUAAGGAACGCAGCAGGCGCGUAAAUUGCCCAAUGACAAAACAUGAUAAAACUCAGUAAAAGAGGUGAAUAUUUUAUUGAGGCAGUGACAAGCUGUAAAGAUUGAAUAUAUUAAUUAAGAUAACAUUUGGAAUUGUCGUUUUAUAAUAUUUUUAAUAUUAUAUUACUUGAUAAUAUACCAAUGUUAUAAAAUAUUCAAUUUGAAUGCGGUGAAUAUAAUAAUUUCAAGUAACAUGUUAUAAAAUAUUUAUAUUUUAUUAGUUAUCUGAAUUUUCAAGUGGAGGGCAAGUCUGGUGCCAGCAGCCGCGGUAAUACCAGCUCCACUAGCUUAUACAAUCAUUGUUGCGGUUAAGAGGCUCGUAGUUGGAUUGAAUACAUUUUUACAAUACUGUGAACAAACCAGAGUGUAUAAAACAUGUAAUAUAUUAUAUAUUUAGCAAUGAAUGUUUUAUCAUGGAAUAUUGCUUAUAAUAUUUUUUAUCGAUGGAGAUAGUUGGAGUUAAGAGUACUGAUAGGCGAGCGGUGAAAUGCAUUGACCCUAUUAAGACUAACAAAAGCGAAAGCACUUAACUAGAUUAUUCUCUUUGUAUUAUUACAAUGAAGAGCGAAGGUUGGGGGAACAAAGAGGAUCAGAUACCCUCGUAGUCCUAUUUUUACAUCAAACUAUGGGAUUUCAAUCACACUCCUUACUAACAUAAAAUAUAUAAUAUAUAAUAUAAUUGAGUCGUAAAUACAACUCUUAUAUUUAAUUAUUAUUUUUAUUAUUCAUUAUAUGUACUUUGAGCUCAUAUAAUUAUAUAGGUGAGAUGUAAGCAUUAUAGGUGAAUAAUAUAUAAGUAAUAUUAUAUUAUUAUGAUCCUUAUUUAUAAAAAUGUAAUGUGAUGCACGUUUUAGGUACGAANUUACUAUAGAAAUAUUUAAAAUAAUACCCUCCUGGGGUAGUAUGCACGCACGUGUGAAACUUGAAGGAAUUGACGGAAGGGCACCACAAGAACGCGUGGAGCAUGUGGCUUAAUUUGACUCAACCCGGGAAAUCUUACCAGGUCCAGACAUAUUGAGGAUUGACAGGCGAUAGUAUAUAAAAUAUAUUUUUAUAUGCAUAAAAAUGAUAGUCCUUUCAUGAUUAUAUGAUAGGUGGUGCAUGGCCGUUCUUAGUUCGUGGAGUGAUUUGUCUGCUUAAUUGCGUUUCAGUAAAUAAAAUAUAUAAUAUAUUAUAAUAUUUAGUUCUGCCUUAUUUAAGGAUUUAAAGUGAACAUAUUAUAUAUAUUAUUAUAUAAUUAAAUGAAUGC